rnacentral:lncRNA from 10 species
GCAUGCCGGAUUAUAUGAAUGAGAUCUGGCUCCUUAAAUCUUCAGGGCUUCCCAGCAAUCUAUUUUUAACAUAGAACAAGCAUAUAAAUAUAUAUGUUUUUAAUCCAUAUUACUCCUGAAAGGAAUAAACUCAGAACUGAAGUUGUUGGUGGAAGUUUAAUGCAGUUCAAUUAAGGAUUUGUAUCCAAAAGAAGUUGUUGCUUGUACUUCCAUUUCUGCAUUAGUCACACUAGAUAUAUAGUCACUUUUAACAGCAUUGUGCCAUUACCAGUGACUUUAAUUACUGUUUGGUAAUCUUAUCUACUUACACCAAUAUUAAUUAAGUCCAUCUGGUGGGGGGAAUGGGGGGUCAUCUCAACAUAUGUUGAUUGAAAAAUGCAAACCAUAAUCUUUAUAGUGGCUAAUUUUCUCAGACCCUUCGUUCCUGAGGACAGAAGGAGGUGAACACACCAUUAGUUCUAAAAAUUAAUUCUAAUAUAGGAACUUGUUUUCUCUGCCUGUUUUAGUGCCUCCUGUUGGAAUGAGCUCACUAACCAGUGGAAACAAACUGUUUAUCCUUCUAUGAUGUUGCAACUGCCUGGGCUUUCUAAUGCGUCUUCAGAUUUCGGUUUGUACUCAGAACAAGUGAGAAAAGUUUUACAGCAACUCCACGAAACAAAGCAGACAGGCUCUCCUGAAGCCAAGGAGUUAUGAAAAAGGCAGGCAUCGCGCAUUGAAUCAAGUAUGCCAUUACCCUCACUCCCAUGAACCUGUCUUUCAGCACAAUCCAUGACAGCAAGAAGACAAAGGCUUUGUUACAACAGAACAGAGCGGAGACAUCCGUGGCCGUCAGCUUCUUUAAAGCCAGUAAAUAAAGGAAAGAAAAGAGAAGUUAAUAUCCAGGUACUGAUGGUGACACCUCUUGUCUUAUCUGACUCAUCGCAGCCAUUUUCAGUAAUAAAAUCAUAUCAAGUGGGAUCCAAGAGAACGUCUUAAAACUAGCCCUAAGUGUUUCUAUCUGACAUUUAGGAUGUAUUAUUAGUAUAUGAGUAAAACCAAUUGAUCACAUGACAAGAUUUUAAAAUAAAAUGUGAAAAGACCUAUUAUGUAUAUUUGGCAUAAAGAAUCCAGUCAUCGUGGCAGCUUACUGG